UCCCCCUUAGCUCAGUUGGUAGAGCAGGAGACUGUUAAUCUCUUUGUCCUAGGUUCGAGUCCUAGAGGGGGAG
rnacentral:tRNA from 1 species